ensembl:rRNA 5S_rRNA 5S ribosomal RNA
GUCUACAGCCAUGCUGCCCUGAACAAGUCUGAUCCCAUCUGAUCUCAGAAGCUAAGCAGGGUUGCGCCUGGUUAGUACUUGGAUGGGAGACCACCUAGUAAGACCAGGUGCUGUUGGUC